rnacentral:rRNA from 1 species
UACGUAGGUGGCUAGCGUUGUCCGGAAUCAUUGGGCGUAAAGAGCGUGUAGGCGGUUCGGUAAGUCGGCUGUGAAAGUCCAGGGCUCAACCCUGGGAUGCCGGUCGAUACUGCCGGACUAGAGUUCGGAAGAGGCGAGUGGAAUUCCCGGUGUAGCGGUGAAAUGCGCAGAUAUCGGGAGGAACACCUAUGGCGAAGGCAGCUCGCUGGGACGUUACUGACGCUGAGACGCGAAAGCGUGGGGAGCAAACAGG